AGUCAGGUUCCUUGUUGUAUGGUGAGCUCGCCCCAGUACUUGGAUGGUGUGGCCCCAAGUGAAGGUAUUUAUGAGAAUUAGGAGAGAGGAGUGUGUCACUUGUGUGUGUAUUACGACUAUAUCUGUAGGGUAAAUAGACAUGUUAGUAUGUCAGCUGGUGGCUUGUUCAGAGAUAAUAUGACUAGGGGUCAUAAGUUGACCCAGCCGAGACACACCUACCGUUAGGUCUCUCCUCUAGUUCUGUGUUUUAUCUCUGUGACUUCGAAUGAGUUUCUCGGAGGAUUAGCAGGCCUUCCCGUGGGAUUGUUGUCGGUAUGUUUUUAGUCCGCAAAGCAGAUUAUAGAGGGAGUUUUUUGUUUACAGCUUUCUGUGACUCCUGGGAAGAGAAGACCUACACACUGUAGGCCGACUUGAGGAAGGAUAUGUGUGAGAGAGAGAGAGAUUGAGGCACAGCCUAACUGUAUAAUGUAGGUUAUGAGGAUAAAUUAUGCAGCUAGAUAUCUUCUGUGAGCUCAACUGUAAAGAUGUUGGCAGUUUUCCUUUUUGUGGGAGCUCGCUCAGCUGUACUAUCCGCGUUUUUCAAAUGAAUUUUUUUGAUUAAUUAUUUAUGAUAUUUGGCUUAUUUGGUUGUAUUGACAGAGGGCACUUGCUCACACAAUAGAGAGGGGACUGUGAUUCACACAGUACUUGGCUCGGUACCUCUCGGGGACGACUUUCUAAGUGUGCUUAUUACGCCACAUACUUACAGCUCCAUUGAACUGUUGACAAGUACUUGUAGAAGUAAAGAUAUGUAUACAUUACCUAUGACCUUCUAUGACCCUUUCGUUCUAUUAGAUGGACAUUUUUCAGGAAUGGGCCAUGAAAGUUGAUUUUCAAGUUAUUGAAAAUCUUCGAUGUGAACUGAUUUGAUAAAAGAGUGAGUGAAAAAUAAUAAUUGAUAAGAUUUCUUUGUGGCAGAUAUUUUUUUUCCUAUGGCAAUAUGUAUAACUUACUAAUUGUUUUGUAAAGAGGUGUCAUUAAUUGGAUCUUGUGUUUAAGAGUACAAGCAUCAUUUAGAUGGUGAUUUGAUGAACUGGGUUACUCGGAUAGAAAGCGAUCAUUUUACCAUUCAUUAUUUUGAUUAUCUUGAUCUAAAGGUAGAGGGAAAUUAAUUUAGAGGCUGGUAUUUAAUGUUUUUCAUGUUUCAUCAAAUUAUGGCAAAUUUUGCUUAGAGGUAGAGCAUGUAACCUUGAAUUUGUCACUUUUAUAGAAAAUAUUGGCCUUUUAUUUCAUCAUUUUUUGAAUAUCCAAUGUUAGAUGGAUGAUAAAGUACACUUUAUUUUGCUGAUUGUAUAUCGUUUAUGUCGCCUCCUGGGCUGUCAAGACGAUGAAUAAUGUCACACUUUGUACAGGGUGUGUAAGCUCCCUCCACCUUAAGGAUAUUCAUCUCUCGUAAUCAAUUAACGCAUAAUGACGUCAACGGAAACUUAGUCUUAGUGGAAUUCUAAACUUUCUCCCAUUGGUUUUUUGGUUUUUUUUGUUUAGAUGAAUAGAUCCAGCCCUGUGAUAACAAUUAGAAUUGUGGUAGAGUCUCUUUCCUUUCUGAACAGGAAGAUUAUUUGGGGUUCCUUGUCGAGAAAUUUGAAAGGCGAAACGUUUUUGACACCAAAUCCUAUUAGGUGU
rnacentral:misc_RNA from 1 species